rnacentral:rRNA from 1 species
CCUACGGGUGGCUGCAGUGGGGAAUAUUGCACAAUGGGGGAAACCCUGAUGCAGCGACGCCGCGUGAGUGAAGAAGUAUCUCGGUACGUAAAGCUCUUUCAGCAGGGAAGAAAAUGACGGUACCUGACUAAGAAUCCCCGGCUAACUACGUGCUAGCAGCCGCGGUAAUACGUAGGGGGCAAGCGUGAUCCGGAUUUACUGGGUGUAAAGGGAGCGUAGACGGCAGCACAAGUCAGGAGUGAAAACCCGGGGCUUAACCCCGGAACUGCGUUGGAAACUGUGCGGCUGGAGUGCAGGAGGGGUAGGCGGAAUUCCUGGUGUAGCGGUGAAAUGCGUAGAUAUUAGGAGGAACACCGGUGGCGAAGGCGGCUUACUGGACUGUAACUGACGUUGAGGCUCGAAAGCGUGGGGAGCAAACAGGAUUAGAUACCCUUGUAGUC